AUGACGACGGCGGCCCCUCUUUUAUCGUUGACGGAUGCGGCGACGGUGACGGCGGCGCUAGCCCCCGGCAGAGCGCCCACCAGAGCCCGCAUUCAGGCCGCCCCCCGCCACCACGCCACCGUCUCGCUGAGAUGCCACCGCGCUCGGCCCCUAACCGCGGCCGCCGCCACGGGCGACUCGCCGUCGUCCGCCGCGUUCCACGGCGAGUGCUUCGUCGUCGGGGACAACAUCGACACCGACCAGAUCAUCCCGGCCGAGCACCUGACCCUGGUGCCGUCCAAGCCCGACGAGUACCGCAAGCUUGGCUCCUUCGCCUUCGUGGGCCUCCCCUCCGCGGCCUACCCGAUUCCCUUCGUGGCCCCAGGCGAGGAGUCGUCCCGCUACGCCGUCAUCAUCGGCGGCGCCAACUUCGGGUGCGGCUCCUCCCGCGAGCACGCGCCCGUCGCGCUCGGAGCCGCCGGCGCGCGCGCAGUUGUGGCCGAGGGCUACGCCCGCAUCUUCUUCCGCAAUUCCGUGGCUACAGGGGAGGUGUACCCCCUGGAGCUCGCGGACAGCGGUGCCAGCAAGGAGUGCAAGACCGGGGAUGUGGUCACAGUGGACCUCGAUAACUCGGUCUUGAUUAACCACACAUCCGGCAAGCAGUACAAGCUGAAGCCUAUUGGUGAUGCAGGCCCGGUUAUUGAGGCCGGGGGGAUCUUCGCUUAUGCUCGGAAGACUGGAAUGAUUGCGUCCAAAUCUGCGUGA
rnacentral:rRNA from 1 species